GACAGAGGGGGCAAGCGUUGCUCGGAAUUACUGGGCGUAAAGGGCGUGCAGGCGGUCUGUUAAGUGCAGGGUGAAAGCUCCCGGCUCAACUGGGAGAGGUCCUUGCAUACUGGCGGACUUGAGGGGGGUAGAGGAAAGUGGAAUUCCCGGUGUAGUGGUGAUAUGCGUAGAUAUCGGGAGGAACACCUGUGGCGAAGGCGGCUUUCUGGGCCCUACCUGACGCUGAGACGCGAAAGCGUGGGGAGCGAACCGG
rnacentral:rRNA from 1 species